GGCGCUGCGAGACGGCCGGCCCUCCGCAGUGACGCUCCCUCCGGCCUGCGCGUGCUGCACGGCGCCCCUCGGCCCCAGAGGCUGACACGGCGAGCCAACAUCCGAUGUUCGGCUCCUUCGCCUACACACGCAGCCGUGGCUCCCGGCGGCUACCGGCCACGGCCCCCACGCCAUGGUGGCGCACGACGCGUCUCCACGCCCCAUGGCCGCUCACGGCACAUCGGUCGGCGAAGACGGCGGCAGCCAGCACCCACCCAGGCGCGGCAAGUCUCACGAUCUGGCAAACUUCGUCGGCGACCCAUGGCCUGGACAGCGCUCCCUCGGCCAGCCUCCUAGCGGAGCGGUAGCAUCCUUCGGCCCGGCUGCUCCUAGCGCUACACCUGGAGGCGGCCGCAGCGGCCAACGGCCGGUGCCAGGCAUGGCGAUGCCCUCAGGCACGCGGCAGCGCGGUCCACAGCCCGGGCAGAGGCGACGCCGCAGCCCUCGGCUUGCAUCCGUGCAGGCGGCGCCCGAGGCAACGGCCCGACGCUAGCCCUCCGGCCACGGUGGCGGCUGCUCCCUCUGUCGUGGCUCCCCGCGGUGGAGACGACGGCGGGCUCAUAGUCGUGGCCCUGGCCGUCGAGCCAAAACGGCGACGAGGUGGUUACACGAUUUCUCCUGGUGGAAAUCGCUGGGGAGGAAAGAGAUAGAACCGAACCUUAUCUCUUUGCUAGUUUUGCAAUUUAGCCCUUGCGGCUUACCUAUUUACGGAAUAGCCCAAAACUUGUGUCUGUCAUCAUUUUGUGGCUACUUCCGGGAUGUUUCGGGAUAUUGCAGCUUGGUCCAACUACUUGCUAUUUAUAGCACUGGUAAUGUUUAGGCCAUAUACCGAUCAUCAUUUAGCCCAUUUUCUGUUGAGUUUAGCAUUCCAAAAAAUAUGUGGUUAUUAUAUGUGGCAUGUUUAAUGUGUUUGCUUUUUAGCAAUUCCUAUAACAUGUCAUAUUAGUACAACGACACUGUUUUGCGAUUGAGAUUAAGUUUUCUCGCACGACAUUUGCGAUUGAGAAAAUUUCUUUUUCUUGAAAGAUAAUCUCAUUGCGGUUGAGAUCAAUUUUCUUGUCCAUCGAUAAUAUGUAGUCAUCAAUAAUCUGCAUAGGCAUCAAACAUCUUGUCCUGGUUUUUCAGUUUCACAGAAAUGUGAACACCGAUAUCGUUGGGUACAUCAAUCAGAUCUCUACUAUAUCAGAUCGUAGACAAGCUUAGUGUUCCUCCUAGGUGUAGUAGCCUUCUCAUGAGGAGUAUUCGAAACAGACCUCAUGGCUACACCCACCAACCAUUAUCUCAACGAUAAUGUUUCUUGUGUUGCCCGGAUGCAAACAGGUUACAUAAUAAGCAAUAUCACUAUAUUGCAUAUCUUGCAAGUCAAAUCAUUCGACUGAUUUGUUCGUCGGGCUUCUACUAACUUCUAUGUUCUAGAAAUGUGUUCAUGGAAUUGGUAGGUGACGACUUCGAAUUUUACAAGAAUCGGGGGGAGUAUCUUUCUGAAUUGUUCCUGUUCAAUGCAUCAUAUUAUACUUUUUUUCCCUUCAUGAGUUUACUUUACAGGUUCUCAUAAAGGUUUUUAAUGAGGUAAUAUCAACAUGAGAUCAUAUGUCAUACUUUCAGUUUUCCCCAUCGGGGUUUUUAGGAAAGUAUAUACGACAUAUUUAUUGUCCUUUUAGUUCUAUGAGUUUUCUCAUAUUGAGUUGAAAGAGACAAUAAUUAUUAUAUGUUGCAUUAUUUUUCUCUCUAUUUUUCCCGCUGGGUUUGAAAGAGUUUUGGCAACAUAUCAAACCCUAUACUCCUCAUAUUUUUCCCACAGGGUUUUUGGAGGAGUCUCUUUUAAGAUGAUGAUGCUACCUGGACAAGCAUGGAUUAAGGGCAGUAUUAAGAUUAAUUAACAUAGCAAUUAAGGGAUUAAUCCCUGCUUGUAUUAACCAUUGCGGUUACUUCUCCAACCGUUGCGUCGGUUCUGUCUGAACCGACACCCCUUUUGUAAACGCAUGCUCCAGUGCUAUAUAUAACACUUCAUCUAAUGCGAAGAGAUAGUUCGAUCA